GUUUACCGCACGGACGUUUGUUGCAGACGGACGCAUUGUUCGACGAGUGGAAAAAGACAUUUUCAUAAACGGCAAAAGAGCAUAAGGGCUGCGAUACCCUCGCAUGUGGGCAACGGCCGUUGAUGUCAAACGCAGAAAUGCAAAGCCGCAACGCUCACAAGGAACAUGGAGGAGUUGCUCAAGAUGAACAACCGGACUGACGCCAGGAUCAUGACAUCACUCACUUAGCCACGCCCCUUAAAGAAACGUCUGCACCUCUCGGAAAAACGUCCAUGAGGAGGAUGAUGGCGGCGUUCAGUCAGCUCCCCCGUUUCGUUGGACUUGUUUUCAGCACGUGCGAUCUUUGACUGUGAUUGUCAAAAUGUGGUAAAACUCCCCUUUGGUGAUACACAAAAGACUGAAGAAGAACAGCAUAGAAAAUGAAGUCAAAUACCUUUUAAUGUGCAAUCAUAUAAUAUAAUAAUAUAUUAUCCAUCGAUGAAGAGAGAGGAAAUGCAAAUUGAAUUACAAGUCAUUUAAUUAUAGGUAAAGUGAAGAAAAUAAGUAUUUGAACACCCUGCUAUGUUGCAAGUUCUCCCACUUAGAAAUCAUGGAGGGGUCUGAAAUUUUCAUCGUAGGUGCUUGUCCACUGUGAAAGAAAUCCAGAAGUCACAAUGUAUGAUUUAUUUUAAACGAUUUAUUGGUGUGAUAGAGCUGGAAAUAAGUAUUUGAACGCCUGAGAAAACCUUGUUUGCAAUUACAGAGGUCAAACGUUUCCUGUAGUUUUCCACCAGGUUUGCACACACUGCAGGAGGGAUUUUGGCCCGCUCCUUCACACAGAUCUUCUCCAGAUCAGACAGGUUUCUGGGCUGUCGCUGAGAAAUAAUGGAGUUUCAGCUCCCUCCAAAGAUUUUCCAUUGGGUUUAGGUCUGGAGACUGUCUAGGCCACACAAGAACCUUGAUAUGCUUCUCAGGGAGCCGCUCCUUGCUUUUCCUGGCUGUGUGGUUUGGGUCAUUGUCAUGUUGAAUGACCCUGCGACGACCCAUCUUCAAUCCUCUGACCGAGGCAAAGAGGUCACAAUACAUGGCCGCGGUCGUCAUCGUCUUUUUAACACAGUCCAGUCGUCCUGUCCCGUGUGUAGAAAAACACCCCCAAAGCAUGAUGCCACCACCCCCAUUCUUCACAGGAGGGACGGUGUUCUCGGGAUGGAACUCAUCAUUUGUCUUCCUGCAAACACGCUUAGUGGAAUUAUGACCAGAAAGUUCCAUUUUGGUAUCAUCUGACCACAAAAAUUUCUCUCAUGACUCCAUGACUCCUGUGUAUCAUCCAAAUGGUCAUUGGCAAAUUUAAGACGGGCCUUGACAUGUGCUGGUUUAAUCAUUAUUAUUCAUUCCCCCCUUAAGUUAAGCAAAUAUGCAUGAAGGUAACAGUGACUUACCAUAAUAUUAUGCAGAUCCCAGCAUGACCUCCUCACGUUGCCUCUGUUUAAAAUUCCCCUUUUUGUGGGGGGGGGGGGGGCAUCUCAGUUACAUAACGCCACUAGAGGGAUGGAAGGAUGGAGGCACUUCAAUCGUUACCUCAGACGCCGCCGUGAGGAUCUCAUCCGAAGACGCAAAAAGGGAGAUGACGAGCGCCGAGUUAGGACAACGCAUCCGCUCGGGGACGCCCGGAUUAAGAUUAAAAGGCAGAGCGAGAAAUAGAAAUAUAAUUAUACG